rnacentral:lncRNA from 1 species
UGCUUACACAUAUCCUUUGUCCCGUUGUGUUGCAAGCACGCUCCUUUCUUCGGCCUUGGCAGUGGAUGAGACCCAUGUACCUCAGGACGUGCGAGGCGCGUGCAUUGGACCUGGGCGUGCUUAAGACUCCAAAAAUAGGUUGGUGCUUGAGCGUUUGGGUAGCGGCCGGGUAGAGAUAGAGAUAAACAAUAACUAACCCCUUGCUCUGUUCGUACAUUCUUUACGAAUCAAUCCCCUUAUUACUUCUCAUGAUUGCCCUUGCCCCGAAACGGCCGGGCGAGGUGCCUCCCCCACAGGAGAAGCCGGCGGAUAGUUCAUCAGAGUCGCCUGCCUGGGGGAGACUACUGCAUGUGACUCGAUACGUGUAUAUGGAAACUGUCGUUCAAAUAUGUGUAGGUCGGGCCUUGGCGGUGUUGCCAAAGGCGGAUGCGGCCCCCAGAACGGGUGCGGAUGCAGCGGAAGUGGAUCCACUACGGAACUGGUGGCAGUGGAUGACGUGUGGGCAAGGAUACGGCGGUGAAUUCCCCUUUUGAUCCGGCCCUUGGGGACUGAUGUGGGUUCGAUCCCCAUAGGAGCGCGUCGCUGAUUUCAGCUGUUCAGUGGAAGCCCCUUACCAAACAAGGACUAGCACCUCUAUAGCUCUCGCUUCUGUCGGAGGCCAAUGCUCCAGGCACCUUUUGACAGCAUUAUCGGCGUGGCUGGUUGUGUCUGUUUAAGCGCAUGCUGCACGGUACACAGCUACAACACACCCACCGACCGAUUGACAUAAUGUUGCUUCCACCCAGCGGGGUCACUCAGCUUCACCCGUACUGAACAAGCGAUGAAUAACAGUGAUAGCAUACGAAUGGGCCAAUCUGUGUCACCACGAACAGGGGACUGGAACUCCAGUUGGCUUGCUUGAUAGGCAUCACUCCAACAGGAGACUCGGGUGUUGGCGCUGAUUCUUCCAUCGCCAAGUAGUCAUCCACCCGUGGCUGUUGGCCUUAUAACUUGAGCUCCGGAGCGCAAGUCUAAAAGACCCUGAAGAAGAUCGUUGGCAUGGCACCACCGGAGCAUCCAGACCAC